rnacentral:lncRNA from 1 species
UGGUCGAAGAUGUGGUUUGCGAGUGCCCAUGGCAGGAUUCCCACUGCGGAGACUCCUGUACAUCGGGUAUGAGGCAGCACAUUGCGUGCAAUGCAUUCUGGUCUUUUUUCCUCCCUCCAGAAGAGGCUCCAUUUAUGUGUUAGGCUUUAAGAGGCUGGGCGUACCAAAAGGAAGUCUCUGAAACGCAGUCCUGUCGAACACCUCUGGAGUUGAUUCUUCUGAUAUCACAGGAGUUCUUCCUAUCACUGUAUAUUAUUGGGUGCGAGCCCCCGGUCCUUCCUCUAUGAGGAGGCAGUGGAGGGAAGAGUUGAACCUCUUCUCGCACACACACCUGAGACUCCCUGGCUCUCUCUGUGGGCCACAGGAUGGGCUUCAGUUAUGGCGAGUAAUAAUUUUGUUAUCGCGGUUUUUACAUUGAUUUGGAACAUGGUGUUACACAAAAUGCUGAAAUUGAAAAAGACAGGAUGAGUCACCUUUGCCCUGUCUCCUCUUCAAGUCUGAUCCUAAUUGAACGGAGAGUGCAAACUGCACGCCAAGAUUUGCAGAACAAAGGCCUCCCCGCCCACGAGUUCCUCAUGGCCUUGCCUCAGUCCCCGAAAUCCCGCUGUUAGCCUCCCUCACUAGAAUAAGGCAUUAGCACAGAAGCCAACGUUGGGGGAAAAGAAAAUCAAUACAGCGUGGAAGAGAAAGCAGGAAGCCAUGGAGGGAGGAAGAGACUGAGGCUCCGGCUGGAAGGACUUCGUUUGUGAUAAGAGCAGAGAGGAAAAGCAGCAAGAAAGAAAAGUCGCUGUACACUUUGGGUCUGGACAUCAAAGAAACAAAGGAAAUGCUUAGAUUCAGAGUGGCACGUGUGUAGAAAAAAGUCCUGCUUUCCUGUCUUGGGGGACACCACUAUCAUCCCAUGUAAGUGACCAGUGCUCCCCAAGUGGCCCUCUCCUGGCAUUUCACUGAGACACAAGCUCCCUGAAAGCUGGGGCUUACCUGACCAUGUGCCCCCUGCACUCCCAGGGCUGAGACCUGCGUCUGGUCCCUGCUAGACACCCAGCGAGGGUUGACAGCAUGAGCGAAUGAGCUUCUCCGUCUGCCCGUAAGUGUGAUGGACACCUUCUCCUACAGCCACCCGUUUCACACAUCAGGCAAACGUCUGUCAAGUCCACUCCUGAAAAUCCUGAAGGAUGUGGCAUUGGACAGGUGAUGCAGUCACAGCCUCGCCCUAGGCCACUCCGGGUCUCUGCUGCCAGGCUACGAGGAGCAGAGAAACACAGGUCCUCUAGCGCAGGGAAUGGGGAGGCCCCAGGAGAGGGAGGGAGACCAGAAACGGCCAAUCAGUGGAGCAGUCAGAACACACACAACGUUUAUCCAUUAAGUUCAUCAUCUUAUAUGGUGCCGUUCAUGGCACCCCACGACAAUUCCAAGAAUAACAUCAAAGAUCACUGAUCACAGAUCACCAUGAGAGAUAUCAUAAUAAUGACAAGGUUUGAAAUAUUGUGAAAAUUACCAAAGCGUGACACAGGACAAAAGCGAGCAUGUGCUAUUGGGAAAAUGGUGCUGAUAGACUUGCUUGACACAGGGUUGCCACAAACCUUCAAUUUGCAAAAACGCACUCUCUGUGAAGCACGAUAAAGUGGGCUACAAGAAAAUGAGGUCUGCCUGCCUCUGUGCGCUGUACAUGAAAACAAGCCUAA